rnacentral:rRNA from 1 species
UACGUAGGGUGCGAGCGUUAAUCGGAAUUACUGGGCGUAAAGCGUGCGCAGGCGGUUGUGCAAGACAGAUGUGAAAUCCCCGGGCUUAACCUGGGAACUGCAUUUGUGACUGCACGGCUAGAGUGUGUCAGAGGGGGGUAGAAUUCCAUGUGUAGCAGUGAAAUGCGUAGAUAUGUGGAGGAAUACCGAUGGCGAAGGCAGCCCCCUGGGAUAACACUGACGCUCAUGCACGAAAGCGUGGGGAGCAAACAGG